rnacentral:rRNA from 2 species
UGCAAGUCGAGCGAACAGAUGAGAAGCUUGCUUCUCUGAUGUUAGCGGCGGACGGGUGAGUAACACGUGGGUAACCUACCUAUAAGACUGGGAUAACUCCGGGAAACCGGGGCUAAUACCGGAUAAUAUUUUGAACCGCAUGGUUCAAUAGUGAAAGACGGUUUCGGCUGUCACUUAUAGAUGGACCCGCGCCGUAUUAGCUAGUUGGUAAGGUAACGGCUUACCAAGGCGACGAUACGUAGCCGACCUGAGAGGGUGAUCGGCCACACUGGAACUGAGACACGGUCCAGACUCCUACGGGAGGCAGCAGUAGGGAAUCUUCCGCAAUGGGCGAAAGCCUGACGGAGCAACGCCGCGUGAGUGAUGAAGGUCUUCGGAUCGUAAAACUCUGUUGUUAGGGAAGAACAAAUUUGUUAGUAACUGAACAAGUCUUGACGGUACCUAACCAGAAAGCCACGGCUAACUACGUGCCAGCAGCCGCGGUAAUACGUAGGUGGCAAGCGUUAUCCGGAAUUAUUGGGCGUAAAGCGCGCGUAGGCGGUUUCUUAAGUCUGAUGUGAAAGCCCACGGCUCAACCGUGGAGGGUCAUUGGAAACUGGGAAACUUGAGUGCAGAAGAGGAGAGUGGAAUUCCAUGUGUAGCGGUGAAAUGCGCAGAGAUAUGGAGGAACACCAGUGGCGAAGGCGGCUCUCUGGUCUGUAACUGACGCUGAUGUGCGAAAGCGUGGGGAUCAAACAGGGAUUAGAUACCCUGGUAGUCCACGCCGUAAACGAUGAGUGCUAAGUGUUAGGGGGUUUCCGCCCCUUAGUGCUGCAGCUAACGCAUUAAGCACUCCGCCUGGGGGAGUACGACCGCAAGGUUGAAACUCAAAGGAAUUGACGGGGACCCGCACAAGCGGUGGAGCAUGUGGUUUAAUUCGAAGCAACGCGAAGAACCUUACCAAAUCUUGACAUCCUUUGACCGCUCUAGAGAUAGAGUCUUCCCCUUCGGGGGACAAAGUGACAGGUGGUGCAUGGUUGUCGUCAGCUCGUGUCGUGAGAUGUUGGGUUAAGUCCCGCAACGAGCGCAACCCUUAAGCUUAGUUGCCAUCAUUAAGUUGGGCACUCUAGGUUGACUGCCGGUGACAAACCGGAGGAAGGUGGGGAUGACGUCAAAUCAUCAUGCCCCUUAUGAUUUGGGCUACACACGUGCUACAAUGGAUAAUACAAAGGGCAGCGAAUCCGCGAGGCCAAGCAAAUCCCAUAAAAUUAUUCUCAGUUCGGAUUGUAGUCUGCAACUCGACUACAUGAAGCUGGAAUCGCUAGUAAUCGUAGAUCAGCAUGCUACGGUGAAUACGUUCCCGGGUCUUGUACACACCGCCCGUCACACCACGAGAGUUUGUAACACCCGAAGCCGGUGGAGUAACCUUUUAGGAGCUAGCCG